UUGUCGUCAGCUCGUGUCGUGAGGUGUUGGGUUAAGUCCGCAACGAGCGCAACCCCUAUUGUUAGUUGCCAUCAUUCAGUUGGGCACUCUAGCGAGACUGCCGGUAAUAAACCGGAGGAAGGUGGGGAUGACGUCAAAUCAUCAUGCCCCUUAUGACCUGGGCUACACACGUGCUACAAUGGUUGGUACAACGAGUUGCGAGUCGGUGACGGCGAGCUAAUCUCUUAAAGCCAAUCUCAGUUCGGAUUGUAGGCUGCAACUCGCCUACAUGAAGUCGGAAUCGCUAGUAAUCGCGGAUCAGCAUGUCGCGGUGAAUACGUUCCCGGGUCUU
rnacentral:rRNA from 1 species